AAAAGAAUUAGUUAAAUUUAUAACAUUAGAAUGUCAAACUAAAAUUAUUAAUAAAUUAAUAUUCUUU
rnacentral:tRNA from 1 species